rnacentral:rRNA from 1 species
CCUACGGGAGGCAGCAGUAGGGAAUCUUCGGCAAUGGGCGAAAGCCUGACCGAGCAACGCCGCGUGAGUGAGGAAGGCCUUCGGGUUGUAAAACUCUGUUGUUUGGGAAGCGGUACCAAACGAGAAAGCCCCGGCUAACUACGUGCCAGCAGCCGCGGUAAUACGUAGGGGGCGAGCGUUGUCCGGAAUGAUUUGGCGUAAAGCGCGCGCAGGCGGUCCUUUAAGUCUGAUGUAAAAGCCCGCGGCUUAACCGCGGAAGGUCAUUGGAAACUGGGGGACUUGAGGCUAGGAGAGGGAAGUGGAAUUCCUGGUGUAGCGGUGAAAUGCGUAGAGAUCAGGAGGAAUACCGAUGGCGAAAGCAACUUCCUGCUAGAACUGACGCUGAGGCGCGAAAGCGUGGGGAGCAAACAGGAUUAGAUACCCUUGUAGUC